GACGAACGCUGGCGGCGUGCUUAACACAUGCAAGUCGAGCGGAUCGGCGAACGGGUGAGUAUCACUUGAGUAACUUCCCCUCCCUCUGGGAUAACAGUUGGAAACGGCUGCUAAUACUGGACAUAGGGGGAUGUGUCGCGUCAUACGAGCUUGUUGGUGGGGUAGUGGCGUAGCAAUGCGACGACGGGGAGCCGGCCUGAGAGGGCUACCGGCCACAGUGGGCAAGGGUACGAGACAAACUCCGACUGGAGGCAGCAGUGGGGAAUAUUGCACAAUAGGGGAAACCCUGAAGCAGCAACGCGCGUGCGAGAGGGCGGCUUUCGGGUUGUAAACGGGUUUCAUCCAGGACGCGGUAGUGGCAGAGGAAGCACCGGCUAACUACGUGCCAGCCGCCGCGGUAAUAC
rnacentral:rRNA from 1 species